rnacentral:rRNA from 1 species
GAUGAACGCUGGCGGCGUGCUUAACACAUGCAAGUCGAACGGAAAGGCCAGUGCUUUCACUGGUGCUCGAGUGGCGAACGGGUGAGUAACACGUGUGUGAUCUGCCCUGCACUUUGGGAUAAGCCUGGGAAAAUGGGGCUAAUAUCAGAUAUGACCAUGCUUUGCAUGGGGUGGUGGAAAGAUUGUUCGGUGUGGGAUGAGCUUGCGGCCUAUCGGCUUGUUGGGGGGGUAAUGGCCUACCAAGGCGUCGACGGGGAGCCCGGCAGGGGGGGUGUACCGCCAAAUUGGGAAUGGGAGAAGGCCCCGACUCCGACGGGGGGGAGGAGGGGGGAAUAUUGCACAAAGGGCGCAAGCCUGAUGCAGCGACGCCGCGGGGGGGAUGACGGCCUUCGGGUUGUAAACUCCUUUCGCAACUGACGAAGCUUUUUGUGACGGUAGGUUGAGAAGAAGCACCGGCUAACUACGUG